rnacentral:ncRNA from 1 species
UCAAAGGUAAUGACUGGGAAUAGUAGAUGUUUAGAAAUUUUCAGAGAGCCGAAGGUUGGUGCGAUUCGGUAAAUUUUAGGCAUUGAACUCACCCAUGAGCUGCAGCCCGAUAAUGUAGGGUGAGCCGGAAUUCCACCGUUACAGGGAUAGAUGGUGUUUGCCAUCGAAAAAGGGGGUUCAUUUUUGAACCAAUUAGGGUGGUACCGCGAGUUAACCUCGUCUCUAUU